rnacentral:lncRNA from 1 species
CUGUACAUGUGUAUAUAUAAUACAGUAACAGGUUGAAAAGCUGAAUAACAAGUUUGUAUACACUGUAAACUAUUCUUAUUGGUAUAACUACCAGAGUGAUAUUGAAAUGUGGAAUUUAUACAUAAAACAUUUAAAAGGAGAAAGUUGUACAGCACGAAAUAUCAUGCAAUUGUGUAUGCAACAGCUUGGGCUCUUGUUUUUGAAGAUCUGUUCCUCAGUCACUUAAUGCCUGCAUGGGUUAUAGCUUAAUGAUUAUAAUAA